rnacentral:rRNA from 1 species
AUGGGAUUAGCUAGUAGGUGGGGUAAACGCUCACCUAGGCGACGAUCCCUAGCUGGUCUGAGAGGAUGACCAGCCACACUGGAACUGAGACACGGUCCAGACUCCUACGGGAGGCAGCAGUGGGGAAUAUUGCACAAUGGGCGCAAGCCUGAUGCAGCCCAUGCCGCGUGUAUGAAGAAGGCCUUCGGGUUGUAAAGUACUUUCAGCGGGGAGGAAGGGAGUAAAGUUAAUACCUUUGCUCAUAGACGUUACCCGCAGAAGAAGCGCCGGCUAACUCCGUGCCAGCAGCCGCGGUAAUACGGAGGGUGCAAGCGUUAAUCCGGAAUUACUGGGCGUAAAGCGCACGCAGGCGUUUUGUUAAGUCAGAUGUGAAAUCCCCGGGCUCAACCUGGGAACUGCAUCUGAUACUGGCAAGCUUGAGUCUCGUAGAGGGGGGUAGAAUUCCAGGUGUAGCGGUGAAAUGCGUAGAGAUCUGGAGGAAUACCGGUGGCGAAGGCGGCCCCCUGG